GGAGGAGUGCCAGAGUGGUUGAAUGGGACGGUCUUGAAAACCGUUAUACCUUAACAGGUAUCGUGAGUUCGAAUCUCACCUCCUCCG
rnacentral:tRNA from 5 species